UCUUUGACCUCGGAUCAGGUAGGGAUACCCGCUGAACUUAAGCAUAUCAAUAAGCGGAGGAAAAGAAACCAACAGGGAUUGCCCUAGUAACGGCGAGUGAAGCGGCAACAGCUCAAAUUUGAAAUCUGGCUCUCUUUGGGAGUCCGAGUUGUAAUUUGCAGAGGAUGCUUUGGCAUUGGCGGCGGUCUAAGUUCCUUGGAACAGGACAUCACAGAGGGUGAGAAUCCCGUACGUGGUCGCCUGCCUUUGCCGUGUAAAGCUCCUUCGACGAGUCGAGUUGUUUGGGAAUGCAGCUCUAAAUGGGAGGUAAAUUUCUUCUAAAGCUAAAUACUGGCCAGAGACCGAUAGCGCACAAGUAGAGUGAUCGAAAGAUGAAAAGUACUUUGGAAAGAGAGUCAAAAAGCACGUGAAAUUGUUGAAAGGGAAGCGCUUGCAGCCAGACUUGCCCGCAGUUGCUCACCUAGGCGUUGGCCUGGGGCACUCUUCUGCGGGCAGGCCAGCAUCAGUUUGGGCGGUUGGAUAAAGGCCUCUGUCACGUAUCUCCCUUCGGGGAGACCUUAUAGGGGAGGCGUAAUGCAACCAGCCCGGACUGAGGUCCGCGCAUCUGCUAGGAUGCUGGCGUAAUGGCUGUAAGCGGCCCGUCUUGAAACACGGACCAAGGAGUCUAACAUCUAUGCGAGUGUUUGGGUGUCAAGCCCGAGCGCGCAAUGAAAGUGAACGGAGGUGGGAACCCUUUGGGUGCACCAUCGACCGAUCCUGAUGUCUUCGGAUGGAUUUGAGUAAGAGCAUAGCUGUUGGGACCCGAAAGAUGGUGAACUAUGCUUGAAUAGGGUGAAGCCAGAGGAAACUCUGGUGGAGGCUCGCAGCGGUUCUGACGUGCAAAUCGAUCGU
rnacentral:rRNA from 1 species